AGGACUACCAGUCUUGAUUAGUAUAUGAAGUCAAAUUUCCAACAAUUUUUCUAGUCUAAAACAUGAAUUCAGUUACAGCACUUGAAAUAAACUUUAUUAGAACUGAG